CGUUGCCCAGGCAGGACUGAGUCACAGGGAAGACAGAGACCCAUACUGCAGAACCUGGCUCUCAACACAUGUUGAACACGAUGCCAAUUUGCUCUGCUUUCCAAGUUCCCUCUGACGGUGGCCUGUCUGGCCGUGACCACAUCGUCUUCCUCACAACCCUUUGGCUAAGUCUCCUGUGGGCAGACAUAGACACUUUCCACAAACAGCCAUCCACCUUAGUUUCUUGGUACAUCACAGAAAUAAACAAGUACCAGCAAGAAAACAAAGCAGCAAGAGUCAACAGAAAGCAAGUGAUGGAUGCCUGAGGCGACCCGUGUGAAAGGAUCUUUCGACUUCCAACGGGGUUGACUCCCACAGGUUGAGAACUGCUGGUCUAGCUCCUAGUACCUUAGAGAGACCACUUGAGCUAUACAUCUCACCAAGGACAGAAGAUUACACCUCAACCCAACAGACUCCAUUGAAGUGACAAGCAUCAACAUGACUCUUGCCACUGUCAGUUAAUCCAUGUACAUAUGUGCAGUAGAGCUUUGGUUUGGAAACCCUUAAGUGCAGUGUCUCGUUUCCUUCUCACAAUAAA